rnacentral:rRNA from 1 species
AUUGAACGCUGGCGGCAGGCUUAACACAUGCAAGUCGAGCGAGCGGCGGACGGGUGAGUAAUGUCUGGGAAACUGCCUGAUGGAGGGGGAUAACUACUGGAAACGGUAGCUAAUACCGCAUACUAUCAGAUGUGCCCAGAUGGGAUUAGCUAGUAGGUGGGGUAAUGGCUCACCUAGGCGACGAUCCCUAGCUGGUCUGAGAGGAUGACCAGCAACACUGGUACUGAGAAACGGUCCAGAGUCCUACGGUAGGCAGCAGUGGGGAAUAUGGCACAAUGGGCGCAAGCCUGAUGAAGCCAUGCCGCUUGUAGGAAGAAGGCCUGAGGGUUGUAAAGUACUUUCAGCGAGGAGGCGUUACUCGCAGAAGAAGCACCGGCUAACUCCGUGCCAGCAGCCGCGGUAAUUC